UUUUUAGCUUCCUUUUCCUUAGCUUUUGCUCUAAAAUGUCUCCUCAUCUCCAUUGUUGUCCCACUGCAUAGAAUACCUGAAAAGACACUAAUAGAGAAAUAACAUAAAGACUCAAAAUCCUAUACCUAAACCCAUGUUAUU
rnacentral:sRNA from 1 species